rnacentral:rRNA from 1 species
GACGAACGCUGGCGGCGUGCCUAAUACAUGCAAGUUGAGCGCUGAAGGUUGGUACUUGUACCAACUGGAUGAGCAGCAAACGGGUGAGUAACGCGUGGGGAAUCUGCCUUUGAGCGGGGGACAACAUUUGGAAACGAAUGCUAAUACCGCAUAAAAACUUUAAACACAAGUUUUAAGUUUGAAAGAUGCAAUUGCAUCACUCAAAGAUGAUCCCGCGUUGUAUUAGCUAGUUGGUGAGGUAAAGGCUCACCAAGGCGAUGAUACAUAGCCGACCUGAGAGGGUGAUCGGCCACAUUGGGACUGAGACACGGCCCAAACUCCUACGGGAGGCAGCAGUAGGGAAGCUUCGGCAAUGGACGAAAGUCUGACCGAGCAACGCCGCGUGAGUGAAGAAGGUUUUCGGAUCGUAAAACUCUGUUGGUAGAGAAGAACGUUGGUGAGAGUGGAAAGCUCAUCAAGUGACGGUAACUACCCAGAAAGGGACGGCUAACUACGUG